CAGAAAAUAGUUUAAAUAAAAAUAUAAACUUUGGAAGUUUAAGAUGGAUAUAAUACUUUUUCUGA
rnacentral:tRNA from 1 species